ACAACGCCAACCAGCGCCCCCUCCCUCGGGACUCCCCGUACCUGGCUGCAGGCGUUGGGUGCCAGACAGAAGUCCCCCAGCGCUCUGCGGAGCUGGCUUAGCUCCACUCACACCAGCAGUUCUGGGACCUUCGCGGGGUGGGGUCUCAGCCUUCCCUGCGCCUGACUCCGGGCGGAAGCAUGGUAACGCGUGCCGGUGGGCCCCCCAGCUCUUUCCCUCGGGGGUCCCUGGAGAGCAGAGCCUGAGCAGAACCAGAAUACCCGAGCAGCAGCGCAGCUGCUAAUCCUGCAGCGAGGAUCAGACCGCCUGAGGGGCUGGAUGCGGAGAUCAGAGAAGGGAGGGGUGGAGGCCUGUGCCGCAUCCCAGGGUGACUGAGUGGCCUGGCCGCCAGCGAGGCCGAGACCUUUACAUUUGCAGAGACCAAUACUUGUCUGCCAGGCCUCAUCAAGCAUUGCUUUUCUGAUUAAGACUUCCAGCGGCCCAUGCAGCUGUCUGUGAGCGCCCUUCUCCUGGAUACCAGAACAGGGACACACAUCAGAGGAACUUCCCAAGCCAGUAUGUUCAUUGCUGACCAGCCUCCUCUGAAAUCAGAACCUUCGAUACAUACACAAACACCUUGAGACUUGGGGCCUCCAGGCUGCAGUAGGAGAACAAAGGAUAGGUUAAGUUGCUUGAUAUAAUGAAAAGGGGCUGGGUCUAUUACCAGCCAAACACUGCCCCCCGUUCAUUCCUGGGGGACAGUGGCACCCAUUUCUAGAGGGAGACUUUGCUUCCUAGUUGCUGAGAUCCUACUUCUUGCAUGAGAAGCAAGUAAAUAGAUUGGUGCCCCCCUACUUCUGCCCCCAAAGGAUCCCUGGGCAGGAGACAAGCAACCCCCAAAGGCAGGGCUGCUGCUCACUGAACCCACCAAAGAGGCACAUUUAAUGUGAUCAAUGGUAGGUGGAAAAGUGCCUGAAGCACAAGUGUUUUCUCAGUGGUGUCACUCUUACAAAGUCAAACUGGGGGGCCCUUGCUGGGUAGGCCUCAGGUGUGCUGACUGGAAGCCAGGCUGGAAGCAUCUUCCUAUAGGCAUGGCAUGUUGUCCCAUCUGACUGCUACAGAUGUGCUCUGGCCACGAGCUCCCCAGCUACUCUCAAUGAUGGUGGGAAUAGAAGUCUCUGGAAACACACACAUGAUGUCUUCUCCGUCGCACCACCUGCACCCUGGACUCAUGGCCUCUGGAUGCUCUGACUGUCAUGAACAGUAGUUUCUUCAAACACAGAUACAGUACUAGCCCCUCAAACAGCAACAGACGUGCUCCGCGAUGUCUGCCGGGAGCCUCUCGGGCACGUGUUUCUCAGGGGUGCAGGCUUCUCCAAUAGUAACAGGGUUUUUCUGACCAGAUAGAUACCUGCCCUGGCCAGAGGUAAGAGAAGACUCUCUAUCAUAGUCACAGUCCCGGCCCGUCCAUUGUGACACUUGUGUUUGGACACGCAGGACUCAAGGGUUCUGAUCACUGUUGGGGACACGGUGGCCCCCUAUAACCCAGGUGGGGAAUUGGCUCUUCCCAGGCAGUUGACGUCACAUGACUUUCCCCGUGAUGCUAUCGCUGCCAGUAGUAACAGGUGCGCUUUGUCUGGGCAGGCCCCAGGUGAUCCAACCUUAGUGAGAAGAGCGUCUCCCAAGAGAGUUUUGCUCCCCGUAACACCUGCCUCUCCAGGCGUGAUGGGGGUGACAGGCUGGCAAGUCCCUGGUGUUCAGGGCUAAGCGUCUCCCAACAUGAGACGCUAAGGUGCCAGGGGGUGUCAUCCUCCACCUGCCCUAAAGCUGAGUGCUUCAAACAUGGAGCAGGGGUUUGGGGUGACACUCCGACGUCAUUGAGCUGCAGAUCCCAUGAAAGAAAUGGGUCUAGGGAGGUGUGAGCAAAAGAUGAACCGUGUCUAGUGUCGGAUAUCCUGGUAACAGUUCCAGGCAAGAGGCCAUAGCUGAGGUGCCACUGCAGGCUGCCUGGGUUCCUGACAGAGCUGCCAAAGGCAGAACGGGAGAGCUGGUGUGCAAACACUGACUGACCUGUGCUCCCACUGGGUUUCUGGGCUGCUGCAGAGCUGAAGCCUGGGGCUGGUACCAAAGGGGAUGUGCAAUCAGCCCAAAGGGGACGUGCAAUCAGCCACGCCAGGAGGAGCCUGGGGAAGAGGACUUGUAGCCACAUCUUUUCAUCAGAGUCUGACUUAGGUUUUCGUGUGCAGGUGGCUAAGGUCCUGGCAGCAGGGAUGCAGGUAACCAAGAGCAGUGAUGGACACUCUAGCUAGAUGGGGGGUGCCCUGGGGAGAGUAACUCCCAAGCUGCCUAUGAGGGGCUCCAAAUGUGACUGGGGGGUGGCUCCUGGUCUCAGAGAAAAGUUCAAAGCUGGAGUAUGGCUCCUGGUAGAGACUGAAAAGUGUUCUACAUGGGAUAGGCCUGGUCAAGGUGGGGGGGGGUGUUAGGGAGAGCAGACACUAGGCCCCAAGGGAGACCUGGAGAUGACAAUCUGUGAAGGGGACGUGGCGCCCAUGUUGGUCACAUUCGAUUCCAAAGCCAGCUGGGAGGACAAGCCUGCAGAUGUGCUGCCUUGCUCCGUGGAUGUCAUGGGGACUGUGAUGACAGAGGUACUGGUGGGAGUGAGGGGGAUCGCGGUGGGCUGAAGGGGGGCUGACACCUCAUCAGGGUGGACUGGGGAGAGAGAACGGCGGGUGGGGAUGCAGGGGUGAGUUUUCUUUAAAAACUGUUCAUGAAGAGCAGCGUGUUUUCUCUCUGCCCCUGGUAGGGUAGUAUAUGAUUGGGAGACACUCUUCCUAGGCCAGGCUUUCCUUGUCCAGCCUGGAGUGGGACUCAGUGCCCUUCCUCAGUCUCUGGAAUUCCUGCACCUGGUUGCAGGUGAACCUCUGGGUUGCAGUUCAACAAGCAUGCACCUCUUCCUGGGGCACCUCCAAGUUGGCUUUGGCCAGGUCUGUGGUUUGAGCUUUUGAGGAGCAGCAGCUCCUGAAAAUGAUUCCACCUAGAACACAAUUGGCAGAAGGGUGUGCUCUGCUCGGUGGUGUGUGAAAUGAAAUGUUUCUGGUUUUCCUUGCACAGGAUAAAGUUCUGCCCUGGAACCGUGCAGGAGCAGAGCCUAGCACUGGGGCAGGGUGAAUUAGGAAAAGCACUACUGUCUCUUUUCUAAGAGUGUCUUUGCCACUGUUAAAGCACCUUCCUUCUAUGCUUAAUAAAAUGCACUGGGGAAAUUGUUUGGACCUACAAGUGUCUUCCUUAUUAUCCUUCUAAGGCCUGCCAGGUCUGUACAGCGCCCACACCCCCCACUCCCACCGCUAUUGGUAAUUUGAAUUGUCUUUAUUAUAUCUCCAUUAAUAUUAGUUGACAUUUUCCACUUUUUAAUUUUUAAGGUUAAUAAAGAUUUAUUUACAAGGGAAAUGAGAAGAGGGAGAACAGAGAUUAAUUGAGUAAUAUGUCCCACCAGGAAAGCUGUCUGAGUGGGAACCCUGGGUACUUGCUGAAGGCAGGCAGAACCAAGAGUCUUUUGUAAAUCAAGUUUUGGGGGCCUCCCUGGUAGCACGAGGGGUUAAGCACAGCACUAUGAAGCUAUCCGCAGCCUAUGCAGCACGAAUUUAAUCCCCAGCCAGGGAGCUACCCACAUGGCGCAGCAGACCUCUCCUGUCUCGCCCGCUGCACCCCUCAGAGUAUAUUUCGGUAGAUCUGCCUGUUCUUCCCCCUGCUCUGUCUCUGGUGAAUCCUCUCUCCCCCUGCACCUCUGGCCUGUACCCCAGUUGUU